rnacentral:rRNA from 1 species
AGUCCACACGGUAAACGAUGAAUACUCGCUGUUGGCGAUAUACAGUCAGCGGCCAAGCGAAAGCAUUAAGUAUUCCACCUGGGGAGUACGCCGGCAACGGUGAAACUCAAAGGAAUUGACGGGGGCCCGCACAAGCGGAGGAACAUGUGGUUUAAUUCGAUGAUACGCGAGGAACCUUACCCGGGCUUAAAUUGCACUGGACAGGCUCAGAGAUGGGCUCUUCUUCGGACCAGUGUGAAGGUGCUGCAUGGUUGUCGUCAGCUCGUGCCGUGAGGUGUCGGCUUAAGUGCCAUAACGAGCGCAACCCUUGCCAUUAGUUACUAACAGGUCAUGCUGAGGACUCUAGUGGGACUGCCAUCGUAAGAUGUGAGGAAGGUGGGGAUGACGUCAAAUCAGCACGGCCCUUACGUCCGGGGCUACACACGUGUUACAAUGGGAGGUACAGAAGGCUGCUACCCGGCGACGGGAUGCCAAUCCCCAAAACCUCUCUCAGUUCGGAUUGGAGUCUGCAACCCGACUCCAUGAAGCUGGAUUCGCUAGUAAUCGCGCAU